rnacentral:rRNA from 1 species
GACGAACGCUGGCGGCGUGCCUAAUACAUGCAAGUCGAGCGGACCGACGGGAGCUUGCUCCCUUAGGUCAGCGGCGGACGGGUGAGUAACACGUGGGUAACCUGCCUGUAAGACUGGGAUAACUCCGGGAAACCGGGGCUAAUACCGGAUGCUUGAUUGAACCGCAUGGUUCAAUCAUAAAAGGUGGCUUUCAGCUACCACUUACAGAUGGACCCGCGGCGCAUUAGCUAGUUGGUGAGGUAACGGCUCACCAAGGCGACGAUGCGUAGCCGACCUGAGAGGGUGAUCGGCCACACUGGGACUGAGACACGGCCCAGACUCCUACGGGAGGCAGCAGUAGGGAAUCUUCCGCAAUGGACGAAAGUCUGACGGAGCAACGCCGCGUGAGUGAUGAAGGUUUUCGGAUCGUAAAACUCUGUUGUUAGGGAAGAACAAGUACCGUUCGAAUAGGGCGGCACCUUGACGGUACCUAACCAGAAAGCCACGGCUAACUACGUGCCAGCAGCCGCGGUAAUACGUAGGUGGCAAGCGUUGUCCGGAAUUAUUGGGCGUAAAGCGCGCGCAGGCGGUUUCUUAAGUCUGAUGUGAAAGCCCCCGGCUCAACCGGGGAGGGUCAUUGGAAACUGGGGAACUUGAGUGCAGAAGAGGAGAGUGGAAUUCCACGUGUAGCGGUGAAAUGCGUAGAGAUGUGGAGGAACACCAGUGGCGAAGGCGAC